rnacentral:rRNA from 1 species
UACGUAGGCAGCAAGCGUUGUUCGGAAUUACUGGGCGUAAAGAGUACGUAGGUGGUUUGCCAAGUCCGAUGUGAAAUCUCCCGGCUUAACUGGGAGGGUGCAUUAGAUACUGGCAGGCUUGAGUGUGGGAGAGGAGAGCGGAAUUCCUGGUGUAGCGGUGAAAUGCGUAGAUAUCAGGAGGAACGCCUGUGGUGUAGACGGCUCUCUGGACCAUUACUGACACUGAGGUACGAAAGCGUGGGUAGCAAACAGG